rnacentral:piRNA from 1 species
UGGAAUUGCAGGCCGGUGCUACAACAACCC